rnacentral:lncRNA from 1 species
GAUGGAUCAAUUGCUGAUGAGAAGGAUGAUUAUGGUUAUCUGGCUAUCCAAGCAUUCUCUGAAGAUGAUUCACUUUGCACAUCUCAGGUAUGAAUUCUUUCUAACUUUGCAAUACUUAUUUCAUUAUAUUCAAAGCAUGUUAUAAAUCUCUGAGUAGAAUUGUUUAACACACAAGCACAAGCAUGAUAGCAUCACAAUAG